rnacentral:rRNA from 1 species
ACUCAAUAGAUACCCAGGUAGUCCACGCCGUAAACGGUGGGCGCUAGGUGUGGGUUCCUUCCACGGAAUCCGUGCCGUAGCUAAACGCAUUAAGCGCCCCGCCUGGGGAGUACGGCCGCAAGGCUAAAACUCAAAGGAAUUGACGGGGGCCCGCACAAGCGGCGGAGCAUGUGGAUUAAUUCGAUGCAACGCGAAGAACCUUACCUGGGUUUGACAUAUACCGGAAAGCUGCAGAGAUGUGGCCCCCUCGUGGUCGGUAUACAGGUGGUGCAUGGCGUGUCGUCAGCUCGUGUCGUGAGAUGUUGGGUUAAGUACCCG